ensembl:lincRNA
GCCUUCUUUAUCUCUUAGGGAAGAGGCCAAGCCAGUCGCUGGGGAGUCUCAAGGUCUGUUUGGGGAGGCACCUGGGGGGCCCAAGGCUGAUGAGCCGCUGCCGAAGGAGAGCCAGAGGUGCCUGGCAGGGAUGCCACCAAAUGCUGCAGCCUCUAGAGCCCGCGUGCCAGGUGUCGGGAGGGAGGGACUCGGGAUGUGCUGGGGGAGGGGGAGGGUGCUGGAGAGCGUGAAUCCAGCAGGUGUGCGCGCGUGCUGGGGCGGAUGAGAGUGCGCGCUGGAGAUGCUGGAGGUGUGUGCCUGGGACGUGGGGAGUGUCGGCCGCUGGGAUGUGGAUUUCUGAUGGGACCUCGCUCCCGGGGGAGGGAUGAGUGUUGGGACCUCCUGGCCCACCGCCUGGCUGACGUUACUCCGAUGCUCAUACACUGGCCUGUGACAGCAGGUGUCCACCCCAGGCUCCUGGGCCCAACUCUCCCCAGGAGGGAUUCGGGCUCCAUGGGGGACCAGGUGAUCGGGCGACUGCGUGGAUCCUCCUGGGCAGGCCCAAAGAUGUGCGCCGAGAGCCUGGUCGCUCCCAGGGCUGCAAGCAGUGAUGAAGCUGGCCCUGUCUGGAGCCAGAGCAGAUGCACCGAGUCCAUGCAUGGCUGUGCACACACCUUCACAGGAACUGGGGCAGCAGAACGCCUCUCAGCCAUCUAGGCCGACUGGCAAGGAGGUGGCCAAGGCUGAGAGAGAGAUACAUAUAUAUAUAUAUAUAUGUAUGUAUGACAUAUAUGUAUGUGUAAUAUAUGUAUGUAUACCGUGCAUACAUAUAUGCAUAUACACACAUAUACAUAUACAAAUGUAUGUAUGACAUAUAUAUAUAGCAAACAAAGGGCACAGUAGUGACAAGGCUAAUGGCUUCGAAUACAACCUUAGUAGAGAGCUUGGUGUGAACUGAAUUGUGUGCACCCACUACACACACAUUGCUACAGUGAAGUCCUAACUUUGGUACCUGUGACCAUGAGCUUGGUUGGAAAUAGGGCGUUUGCAGCUGUAAAUAGUUAGGAUGACAUAACCCUGGAGUGGGGUGGGCCCCUAAUCCGUUAUGACUGGUGUCCUUAGAACAAGUGGGGAUUUGCACACAGACACGCCCAGAGAGAACACUGUGGAUCAGCCACGACCCCGCAGAAGCCAGGGGAGAGGCCUGGGGUGGACCUUUCCCUCCAGCCUGCAGAGGGACCACAGCCCUGCCGACACCUUGAUCUUGAACUUCUGGCCUCCAGAACUGGGAGAGAAUACUGUUUAACUCGAAAAGACCCCUGUGAAGUUGAGGGUCUUACCGUUUCACAGAUGAAGAAAUGAAGACUCUGAACAUCUGAAUGACUUGUUCAGACUAAUUCAGCCAGCUGGAGGUAAACCCAGAGUUUAAUUCAACUCUUCUGAUGUGAACUCUGGAUCCAGGGAAAUAAACGUAAGUGCUGUAGCAUCUUCCAGCUUCCUGAUAUAUUCAGGUUUUAAUGUUCUUUUAAAGCUUUGGGCUCUCCAGAUAUUGUUCGAGUGAACCCUCUCCCAUGCACCAACCUGCCUCUGAGAAAUUGAUUCCUUUUCAGGGAGAGAAACCCAGGAACCUUUCUUUCUGUGCUAUAAAUGUCCCCCAGGGCACUACUUUAGCUGCAUCCCACAAAUUGUGCUGUUUUGCAUUUUGUUUUAAUCUAUUUCAGUAUAUUUUAAAAGGUUUUCCU